rnacentral:misc_RNA from 1 species
GUAGGUGAACCUGCGGAUGGAUCAUUAGUGAAUGUUGGGCUGCUUCGGCGGCCCGCACUCCACCCUUGUGCAUCCAUUGUUUUUGGCCGGCCUCGGCUGGCCAGAGGGCUUGUGCUCCCCGGCUUCGGCCGAACGGCGCUCGCCCGCCCAACGCUUCCACACUGUCUAAUGUAAGAAACAAAAUGAUCUAAACAACUUUUGACAACGGAUCUCUUGGCUCUC